CCUACGGGUGGCAGCAGUGGGGAAUAUUGGACAAUGGAGGAAACUCUGAUGCAGCGACGCCGCGUGAGUGAAGAAGUAUUUCGGUACGUAAACCUCUAUCAGCAGGAAAGAAAAUGACGGUACCUGACUAAGAAGCCCCGGCUAACUACGUGCCAGCAGCCGCGGUAAUACGUAGGGGGCGAGCGUUAUCCGGAUUUACUGGGUUUAAAGGGAGCGUAGACGGCAGCGCAAGUCUGGAGUGAAAUGCAGGGGCCCAACCCGGGAGCUGCUCUGGAAACUGUGUAGCUGGAGUGCAGUAGAGGUAAGCGGAAUUCCUGGUGUAGCGGUGAAAUGCGUUGAUAUUAGGAGGAACACCAGCGGCGAAGGCGGCUUACUGGGCUGUAACUGACGUUGAGGCUCGAAGGCGUGGGGAGCAAACAGGAUUAGAUACCCCUGUAGUC
rnacentral:rRNA from 1 species